CUCCCACCUCAGCCUUCUGAAUAUCUGGGACCACAGUUCAUUACUAAUUGUGCUUACCUGGGAGCAGUUUAACUUAGUUAAACUGAAAAUUCUGAAAAUCCUGAAAAUUCUGAAGACCUCGAAAUUACCUUGUGGCCUCUUCCUCACCUGAGAGGCACCUACUAAAGCUCAAAGAUGGCUCUACCUUGGAUGUCCAAACAUUUCUGCUUUUGACUAUAGUGAAGAUGAGAGACUGGUGGGCUGCUGGAGCUACGGUAGUGACAUGGAAGCCCCGAUCCCACUGUUAAGGAACCUGUGGUUUAGAUGGGAACAUGAAGCAACUUCACGCAAACUGCAGCAAGUGAAGAGUCUCAGCUGAGCAGAGACCUGGAGAGUCUGGGUGAAGGGAACAUUCUCUGGCAGCUGAAGAAGGCUUAGCCAGACCUACAUUUUAGCAGGUCACAGUAGGAAAGCCAUGGGCAUUAAAGCCUCCAGCAGCAGUUGACUAUAGGUGCAUUUUAUUAGAAAAUUAAAUACAUCUUAUUUAAAUGA